rnacentral:rRNA from 1 species
CAGCAGCCGCGGUAAUACGUAGGGGGCAAGCGUUAUCCGGAAUUACUGGGUGUAAAGGGAGCGUAGACGGUUAAACAAGUCUGAAGUGAAAUGCCGGGGCUCAACCCCGGAGCUGCUUUGGGAACUGUAGAACUGGAGUGUCGGAGGGGUGAGCGGAAUUCCCAGUGUAGCGGUGAAAUGCGUAGAUAUUGGGAGGAACACCGGCGGCGAAGGCGGCUUACUGGACGACAACUGACGUUGAGGCUCGAAGGCGUGGGUAGCAAACAGGAUUAGAUACCCCAGUAGUCCCUGUCUCUUAUAC